AUUGAACGCUGGCGGCAGGCUUAACACAUGCAAGUCGAGCGGGGGAAGGUAGCUUGCUACCGGACCUAGCGGCGGACGGGUGAGUAAUGCUUAGGAAUCUGCCUAUUAGUGGGGGACAACAUCUCGAAAGGGAUGCUAAUACCGCAUACGUCCUACGGGAGAAGGCAGGGGAUCUUCGGACCUUGCGCUAAUAGAUGAGCCUAAGUCGGAUUAGCUAGUUGGUGGGGUAAAGGCCUACCAAGGCGACGAUCCGUAGCGGGUCUGGGAGGAUGAUCCGCCAAACUGGGACUGAGACGCGACCCAGACUCCUACGUGAGGCAGCAGUGGGGAAUAUUGGACAAUGGGGGGAACCCUGAGCCAGCCAUGCCGCGUGUGUGAAGAAGGCCUUAUGGUUGUAAAGCACUUUAAGCGAGGAGGAGGCUACUCUAGUUAAUACCUAGGGAUAGUGGACGUUACUCGCAGAAUAAGCACCGGCUAACUCUGUGCCAGCCGCCGCCGUAA
rnacentral:rRNA from 1 species